rnacentral:rRNA from 1 species
GAUGAACGCUGGCGGCGUGCCUAAUACAUGCAAGUCGAGCGAACGGACGAGAAGCUUGCUUCUCUGAUGUUAGCGGCGGACGGGUGAGUAACACGUGGAUAACCUACCUAUAAGACUGGGAUAACUUCGGGAAACCGUAGCUAAUACCGGAUAAGAUUUUGAACCGCAUGGUUCAAAAGUGAAAGACGGUCUUGCUGUCACUUAUAGAUGGAUCCGCGCUGCAUUAGCUAGUUGGUAAGGUAACGGCUUACCAAGGCAACGAUGCAUAGCCGACCUGAGAGGGUGAUCGGCCACACUGGAACUGAGACACGGUCCAGACUCCUACGGGAGGCAGCAGUAGGGAAUCUUCCGCAAUGGGCGAAAGCCUGACGGAGCAACGCCGCGUGAGUGAUGAAGGUCUUCGGAUCGUAAAACUCUGUUAUUAGGGAAGAACAUAUGUGUAAGUAACUGUGCACAUCUUGACGGUACCUAAUCAGAAAGCCACGGCUAACUACGUG